ACACCCUCCUGGUUAACAGCCCCACGCCCCGAGAGCUGUUCUUUACAUGAAUUUCUUCUGUUAAAGCAGCUCGUGUGGCUUCUUCACCCUGGUGGAGCCAACACAUACGCCUGUCACAGAGGUGAGGAGUGGGUGCUCACCAGCGUUUGAUGCUGACCUUCCGGAAACAUGGUGUCCCUUAGAGCCUUCAGCCUGCCAGGACAGAGCCACCCCCUGGUCGUUCUGUUGGAAUUUUGGCGUUCCUGUCUUUUAGGCGACAUCUGCCAAGCGCAAUUGUGUGAGGAAACCCAUUCUGUCGUGUCUGCCGGGGCCCAGGGCGGCUGCUGUGCACGAACCAGCUUUUGUGACCCACGGAGCGAUGACUCAGUCUGGAGCUCGGCUACUCUCCGGCCCGGGGUGCUGGCAUUUCCCUGGGGCCCAGGGCCUCUAUUUUCCCCAUGAGGCCUCAGCCAAGAGGAGGUUCUAGAAGAAAGGAAAACACUGGUGCGGAGAGAGAAGGGCUGGCCAAGAGGCCCCACGCCAUCAGUGCCGAUGGGGAGAGGCGGCUGCAGCCCAGCACUGCUGUCUUUACGAGGCAUGUUUCCUUUUUAUUCAGAGGAAGAGAAGCAGAGGAACACGUCAUGGAGACGGACUGAGUGGAAGGAGCCAGGGAUGGCGACAAGCAGAAGGAAGUGUGUUUUGUCCCCAUCCAGGGAAGCUUCUGUUUCAUGAGACUUACUUGCACACGUCUGGUGGCCGCCCUGGACGCUCAUGGACUUUUGUUUUCACUCAGAUUUUGUGGUUCAAGUGACACAAAGCGUAAGGACGUCACUGGGCGAGAGGGCUAGGUCAACCCUCCACAGAGGGGCACGCCCCAGCUGUGCACCGCGGGAGUGGGCUUGUUCAGUCUUCAAACACAGGGACAGGAUAUGCCCAUCUCAUGUAAGACGUGA